UCAUAUGCCGUAUUUACUCGAAUCUAAUGCACACCUUUUUUGGAAAAUAAAGUUUCCAAAAUUUCAAUGCGCAUUAGAUUCAAUGGCACAUUAGAUUCGAGUAAAUACGGUAUUUUACA